AAAACACCUUCUCACACAGAGAACCCAAUCUCCGCCUCCGGCCACACUCUUAAUUUAUCGUCCUAGGGUUUUCAGUCGCCGGAAAAGAAAUUCGAUUUUCCGACGAAUCUAUCGAGGUGAUUGAGGAUUUGGAUGAGAAUACAAGAUGCCGCCAAAGCAAUCUAAAGCCGAUAUUGCAAAGAAGCAGAAGGUAGUUGAAGACAAGACGUUCGGUCUUAAGAAUAAGAACAAGUCGAAGAAUGUUCAGAAAUAUGUUCAGUCUUUACAGCAAAAUGUUGUGCCUAAAGCUGAUCCUAAGAAACUUGACGCCAAGAAAAAGAAGGAAGAAGAGAAAGCUAGAGAGAAAGAGCUUAGCGAAUUGUUCAAAGUCGCUAUUAGCCAACCUAAAGUGCCUCUAGGUGUUGAUCCAAAAUCUAUUUUAUGUGAGUUCUUUAAGGCGGGGCAAUGUGUUAAGGGUUUUAAGUGCAAGUUCUCUCACGAUCUGAAUGUUCAGCGAAAAGGAGAGAAGAUUGAUAUUUUCAGCGAUAAGCGUGAUGAAGAUGGAAAGGAAACAAUGGACGAUUGGGAUCAAGAGACACUGGAGAAGGUUGUGGCGUCAAAAAGUCAAGAGUAUAACAAGAACAAACCAACUGACAUUGUAUGUAAAUUCUUUUUGGAUGCUGUGGAGAAAAAGCAGUACGGUUGGUUCUGGGCCUGUCCAAAUGGUAAAGAAUGCCAUUACAGGCAUGCACUUCCUCCUGGAUAUAUUCUCAAGUCACAAAUGAAAGCCUUGUUACAAGAGGAAGCUGACAAGAUGCCUAUUGAAGAAGAAAUUGAUCAACAGCGUGCAAAAUUGACUGCUUCAACUCCCUUGACCACUGAAUUAUUUAUGGAAUGGAAAAAAAAGAAGACGGAAGAAAGAGAGGCCAAUUUGGCCAAACAGAGGGCAGAUAGAGCUAAGAAUGAUCGCAUGAGUGGUCGUGAGUUGUUCAUGUCGGAUGCUAGUUGGUUUGUGGAUGAUGUGGGGGCCUAUGACAAGUAUGAUAGGGAAGAAGAGUCUGCUGAACUCCCAAAGGAGAAUAAGGAUUCUGCUAGGGAAGAGGCAAGCUCCUCGACAUCAGCCCAGAAGAAUAUUCAUGAUGGUGGUGAGGCUUCACAUAAAGACCAAGUGGAUGACAUUUAUGACGACGACGAUGAUGAUGAUGACUUUGAUGUGGAUGAGUUAAAUGAACUGGAAG
rnacentral:misc_RNA from 1 species